AUUGAACGCUGGCGGCAUGCCUAACACAUGCAAGUCGAACGAGUGGCGGACGGGUGAGUAAUGUCUGGGAAACUGCCUGAUGGAGGGGGAUAACUACUGGAAACGGUAGCUAAUACCGCAUACCAUCAGAGGUGCCCAGAUGGGAUUAGCUAGUUGGGGGGGUAACGGCUCACCAGGGCGACGAUCCCUAGCUGGUCGGAGAGGAUGACCAGCCACACUGGAACUGAGACACGGUCCGGAUUCCUACGGGGGGAGGAAGUGGGGAAUAUUGCACAAUGGGCACAAGCCUGAUGCGGCCAUGCCGCGUGUAGGAAGCAGGCCUUCGGGUUGUAAGGUACUUUCAGCGGGGCGGCGUUACCCGCAGAAGAAGCACCGGCUAACUCCGUGCCAGCAGCCGCGGUAAUUC
rnacentral:rRNA from 1 species